CUAAUAUAUCAUUUGUUAUAUAAAACAAUAAAUAACUUCGAACUAAAUCUUGGAAAAAAAAAAGAAAAACAAAACAUUAUUUAUAGAACAAAGCAGAGAAACUAUAUAUAAUGGGCAAAAGUCUGAAAGUUUUCAGACUUCAACCGAUGUAACCAUGACUCUGUAAAUGGGAAAAUCUUGUAUACACAGGCAAAAGAGACAGUGAUCCAAUCUUUGAUGAAAUAAAUAUCUGCCACGUACAUUUCAUAUCUCGACUUGCGAUAAAGAUUCUCAUUAACAAUGAUGAUAAAUAUUACAGAAAAAAUGAUGAAAGAAAGGAUUAAAUUUAAAAUUUUUACAUAGAAGUCUUGAUGCUAUUUUUGAUAAUAAUCUGUUAAUUAUUUAAGACAGAAUUUACCAUACUGAUAGAGAUGAGAAUUUGUUGCUUUUCAAUUUGCUCACGUGAGAAAUAAAAAUUCUAGGUUUGUUUGUUAAAUAUUGAAAUAGAUAAGCAUGAUAAUGAAUGUGUGCAAUUUUAAUCAAACAAAGUCUAAUCGCUAUACGAUUAUGCAAUAAGUCAAUAAAGCACGAUGAACGAGCUUAUAGAAAUUUAUGAAGUAAAAUGUACAAUUGGACACGUUCCAGAAAACGUGAAAGCAGGAAAUCACAUAUCAAUAAUAGUGAAAAAACUAUUAUGGAACAAUAGAAUUUCCUCUAAAGGAAAGAAGAUUAUUACAAUCUAUCAAUAAUAAUAACAAAAUUCUAAUAUUCCACAAUCUAAGUUCCUUAACCUUCGAAGGAAAAGAAUAUUUGCAAAACAAAGAAAAAAUUUUUCCUCACUUCAUGUGGAAAUCAUUUUUCAAAGGAACGAUUUUAUGCACCGAAGAAAAUAUCUGUCACUAGCAACGACCUUAUCAGUCAACUGCUUAUCAUCGACCUCACGUAGUUGAGGACAGGUUUAUGACUUGACUGCUGGAAUCGCGAACAAGUGUAUCUCCGUUACCUCAAACGGUUCCUCUUUUCUUAAUACCUCUUUUCGACGUAGACACUUUCUUGUUUUGAGAAAACUAAGACAAAGCAGAAUAUUUGCAAAACAUAUGCGAAAAGAGACACGAUUUUCCGAACGUGAUAUAACUAUAUAUUGUUUUAUAAUCGCGAAAGAAGAUUCGAGACACGUGUGAAGACAAACAGCACUGAUUCAACUUCAAAGAAAUUUCUUUAACGUCGACACGAUGUCGAAUUGACAGCCGAUGAAUUAUUUCUUCAGAUUCUUUUGAGAUUUCUUGAAAAUUGUUACAAAACGAAACUUAAAGAUGAAUGAUCUUUUAAUCUAAAAACGAAAAUUUUGAAAGAAAGUUUAUUUAUUUUAUAUAUAAUAAUAUUUAAGAUACAAAAUUUAUAAACUAUGCUUUAUAAUUACAUCUAAUUAUGAGUGAAAGGAUUAAGGAAAUCUCUUAUAUUUUAAUAGAAACGUUAAACGUUAGUUUCAUAUCUAAACAAAUGGAUAACUAAGUAACACCUUCGUCAGAUUUCUCAUCAAAUAAUAACGAUAUCUUUUGAAACGACAACUUUCAUCAAUAACAACUUUCACAUCGACAAAUAUAGAAUUCCAUUUCGUAGGAUCGAAUUCAGCCCGAAUUUUGAUACGAAGCCCAUCAAAAGCUGAAUGGAUUUGUAACAAGGAUUUAUCUUAUUAUAAAAGUAUAUCUAAAAUCGAGAGAAAUAUCGUUUCUCGAAAACAGCAAUAUCAUUAGAUCCUAAAUGCUCGUUAACCUACCUAUCGAAACCGAUUUUAACGCUUUUGGAAUAAAUGAUUAUGCAUGCAGAUCGCACGAUUCCGCGAUUACCACUCGUUACGCCGAGUUGUUCCAUCGGGAACGACACGAUAUCAGCGGUACAAUCACGGCCAAAUUGCCUUUGGACGAUAAUGUUCGGAAAAAUGACCGAAACACCGAUCUCGAUGCAUCCGUGAAAAAAAAUAAUGCGAAAAUCACGAUUUGCGAUCAAAGUAUCCAAAGAGCUAAAACGAAAUUUAGUUCGAUUCUUGAUUAAUUCUGAAUAGUGAUGGGCACAAGUAUAUUGCAACUAAUAUGAUCUUUCAUGAAUAAUGAUAGAAAUGAAUCUUUUUUAUUUGAAGAUUAAAUGAGAUCUCUUAUGACUAAAUAAUAAUCAAAAUUGAAUGAAAUGAAUAAAGCGAAUGAAAUUAACUUUUUAUAUUGAAAAUGAAAUAUGAUGAGUAAAACUCAUGAAGCUUUUUAUAUUGAAAAAUUAAAUAUGAUCUCUUAUGAAUAAUUGAAUAAUCGAAUUCUAUGCAAUGAAUACUUUAUAAUGAAAUAAUGAAUUCCUUUAUGAAUUGAAUUCUUAAAAUGAAUGAAAAAGUGAAAUAAACAAAUUAAUAUUUCACAAUUAAAUACAAUCUAAACGCAUAAAAAAUACAAAAAAGUAAAACGUGAUUUCUUAUAAGUAUUAAAAUUAAAGAUGGAACUUUUAUUUUAUUUGUAUUCGUGUAUACAUAUUGAACUUCAUCCCAUCGCUAACCCGAGCUAAUUUCCAACAAGAGAACCCUCUCUUAAAUUGACGAAAAUUACUGGUUAUUCAAACGAUCCUCCAUGAAAUGUGAAAAUCUGUGUAUAUUCAAAGGGACCAUGUUCGAUCGAACGACGUUGAAAACGUGUUAUGCAAGAAUCUUCGCAUAUAUUUAUAUAUAUUAUAAAUGAAAUUUUCUUGAACAAAGAAAAACUGAAAUAAUUACUGACUGAAGUACAGAAAUCGAGCGAGUAGUAUGCGUGCAACUUUCACUCUCGUCUUGGCAGGUUUCAAGGAACAAAAAUUGAUUUGUCGCACAAACAUUCG
rnacentral:lncRNA from 1 species